rnacentral:rRNA from 1 species
UACGGGGGGGGCAAGCGUUGUUCGGAAUUACUGGGCGUAAAGGGCUCGUAGGCGGCCAACUAAGUCAGACGUGAAAUCCCUCGGCUUAACCGGGGAACUGCAUCCGAUACUGGAUGGCUUGAAUUCGGGAGAGGGAUGCAGAAUUCCAGGUGUAGCGGUGAAAUGCGUAGAUAUCUGGAGGAAUACCGGUGGCGAAGGCGGCAUCCUGGACCGACAUUGACGCUGAUGAGCGAAAGCUAGGGGAGCAAACGGG